rnacentral:rRNA from 1 species
UACGUAGGGACCAAGCGUUGUCCGGAUUUAUUGGGCGUAAAGAGCUCGUAGGCGGCCCUCCACGUCGGAUGUGAAAGCUCAGGGCUCAACCCUGAGAUGCCAUUCGAUACGGGAAGGCUAGAGGUAGGUAGGGGAAAGUGGAAUUCCUGGUGUAGCGGUGAAAUGCGCAGAUAUCAGGAGGAACACCGGUGGCGAAGGCGGUUCUUUGGGCAUGUCCUGACGCUGAGGAGCGAAAGUGUGGGGAGCGAACAGG